AGCGUACACGGUGGAUGCCCUGGCAGUCAGAGGCGAUGAAGGACGUGCUAAUCUGCGAUAAGCGUCGGUAAGGUGAUAUGAACCGUUAUAACCGGCGAUUUCCGAAUGGGGAAACCCAGUGUGUUUCGACACACUAUCAUUAACUGAAUCCAUAGGUUAAUGAGGCGAACCGGGGGAACUGAAACAUCUAAGUACCCCGAGGAAAAGAAAUCAACCGAGAUUCCCCCAGUAGCGGCGAGCGAACGGGGAGCAGCCCAGAGCCUGAAUCAGUGUGUGUGUUAGUGGAAGCGUCUGGAAAGGCGCGCGAUACAGGGUGACAGCCCCGUACACAAAAAUGCACAUAUUGUGAGCUCGAUGAGUAGGGCGGGACACGUGGUAUCCUGUCUGAAUAUGGGGGGACCAUCCUCCAAGGCUAAAUACUCCUGACUGACCGAUAGUGAACCAGUACCGUGAGGGAAAGGCGAAAAGAACCCCGGCGAGGGGAGUGAAAAAGAACCUGAAACCGUGUACGUACAAGCAGUGGGAGCACGCUUAGGCGUGUGACUGCGUACCUUUUGUAUAAUGGGUCAGCGACUUAUAUUCUGUAGCAAGGUUAACCGAAUAGGGGAGCCGAAGGGAAACCGAGUCUUAACUGGGCGUUAAGUUGCAGGGUAUAGACCCGAAACCCGGUGAUCUAGCCAUGGGCAGGUUGAAGGUUGGGUAACACUAACUGGAGGACCGAACCGACUAAUGUUGAAAAAUUAGCGGAUGACUUGUGGCUGGGGGUGAAAGGCCAAUCAAACCGGGAGAUAGCUGGUUCUCCCCGAAAGCUAUUUAGGUAGCGCCUCGUGAAUUCAUCUCCGGGGGUAGAGCACUGUUUCGGCAAGGGGGUCAUCCCGACUUACCAACCCGAUGCAAACUGCGAAUACCGGAGAAUGUUAUCACGGGAGACACACGGCGGGUGCUAACGUCCGUCGUGAAGAGGGAAACAACCCAGACCGCCAGCUAAGGUCCCAAAGUCAUGGUUAAGUGGGAAACGAUGUGGGAAGGCCCAGACAGCCAGGAUGUUGGCUUAGAAGCAGCCAUCAUUUAAAGAAAGCGUAAUAGCUCACUGGUCGAGUCGGCCUGCGCGGAAGAUGUAACGGGGCUAAACCAUGCACCGAAGCUGCGGCAGCGACGCUGAUGCGUUGUUGGGUAGGGGAGCGUUCUGUAAGCCUGUGAAGGUGUGCUGUGAGGCAUGCUGGAGGUAUCAGAAGUGCGAAUGCUGACAUAAGUAACGAUAAAGCGGGUGAAAAGCCCGCUCGCCGGAAGACCAAGGGUUCCUGUCCAACGUUAAUCGGGGCAGGGUGAGUCGACCCCUAAGGCGAGGCCGAAAGGCGUAGUCGAUGGGAAACAGGUUAAUAUUCCUGUACUUGGUGUUACUGCGAAGGGGGGACGGAGAAGGCUAUGUUGGCCGGGCGACGGUUGUCCCGGUUUAAGCGUGUAGGCUGGUUUUCCAGGCAAAUCCGGAAAAUCAAGGCUGAGGCGUGAUGACGAGGCACUACGGUGCUGAAGCAACAAAUGCCCUGCUUCCAGGAAAAGCCUCUAAGCAUCAGGUAACAUCAAAUCGUACCCCAAACCGACACAGGUGGUCAGGUAGAGAAUACCAAGGCGCUUGAGAGAACUCGGGUGAAGGAACUAGGCAAAAUGGUGCCGUAACUUCGGGAGAAGGCACGCUGAUAUGUAGGUGAAGUCCCUCGCGGAUGGAGCUGAAAUCAGUCGAAGAUACCAGCUGGCUGCAACUGUUUAUUAAAAACACAGCACUGUGCAAACACGAAAGUGGACGUAUACGGUGUGACGCCUGCCCGGUGCCGGAAGGUUAAUUGAUGGGGUCAGCGCAAGCGAAGCUCUUGAUCGAAGCCCCGGUAAACGGCGGCCGUAACUAUAACGGUCCUAAGGUAGCGAAAUUCCUUGUCGGGUAAGUUCCGACCUGCACGAAUGGCGUAAUGAUGGCCAGGCUGUCUCCACCCGAGACUCAGUGAAAUUGAACUCGCUGUGAAGAUGCAGUGUACCCGCGGCAAGACGGAAAGACCCCGUGAACCUUUACUAUAGCUUGACACUGAACAUUGAGCCUUGAUGUGUAGGAUAGGUGGGAGGCUUUGAAGUGUGGACGCCAGUCUGCAUGGAGCCGACCUUGAAAUACCACCCUUUAAUGUUUGAUGUUCUAACGUGGACCCGUGAUCCGGGUUGCGGACAGUGUCUGGUGGGUAGUUUGACUGGGGCGGUCUCCUCCUAAAGAGUAACGGAGGAGCACGAAGGUUGGCUAAUCCUGGUCGGACAUCAGGAGGUUAGUGCAAUGGCAUAAGCCAGCUUGACUGCGAGCGUGACGGCGCGAGCAGGUGCGAAAGCAGGUCAUAGUGAUCCGGUGGUUCUGAAUGGAAGGGCCAUCGCUCAACGGAUAAAAGGUACUCCGGGGAUAACAGGCUGAUACCGCCCAAGAGUUCAUAUCGACGGCGGUGUUUGGCACCUCGAUGUCGGCUCAUCACAUCCUGGGGCUGAAGUAGGUCCCAAGGGUAUGGCUGUUCGCCAUUUAAAGUGGUACGCGAGCUGGGUUUAGAACGUCGUGAGACAGUUCGGUCCCUAUCUGCCGUGGGCGCUGGAGAACUGAGGGGGGCUGCUCCUAGUACGAGAGGACCGGAGUGGACGCAUCACUGGUGUUCGGGUUGUCAUGCCAAUGGCACUGCCCGGUAGCUAAAUGCGGAAGAGAUAAGUGCUGAAAGCAUCUAAGCACGAAACUUGCCCCGAGAUGAGUUCUCCCUGACUCCUUGA
rnacentral:rRNA from 1 species